GGGUGGGUGUGAGUCUUUGGGAGUGGGUUCAUCCUAGACGUAGGUUUUGGGAAGAGAGAAGGGUUCUCAAAAAUCUUCCAUGACCUCUUCUUCCUCCAGUCCUUCUUUUCAUCUAGGAGAGUCUAAGAGAUUUGAAGGAGCCAAAUUAGUUAAGGGAGCUAGCACCUCGAGGAGAUUGUCAAACCUCCGAUUGAAUCAGGAGC
rnacentral:lncRNA from 1 species